AGUCGCCAUGUUGGUUGAGAAUAAAGGGAUGGUUUUGGAGGCCUGGGCGGACUUCUUUGAUGAGGGGAAACCGCUUUCGCGGGAUCUGGUGGAUGUAGAUAUAUGGGUUUAUAGUUGGGGAAACUUAAUUGCCAGGAGGCGAGACUGAGAGUGUCACAGGGAUUGGACUUGACCUCAGACAUCUUGACGCUCAAACCAGGAUUCUAGCAGUUGAGUUAUUCAGUUUCACGUUAAUCCACAGGCAGACGGGACUUUUCUUUCUCUGUUUCUUCCCUUCCUCCCUACCCUUUUACCUUCUUAGCUGCCCUUCUCACUUUUUUCUCUUUCCCUUUUUAUUUCUUUCAGUAAAAAUGGUAGCAAGAAGAGAAGAAAAUGGGCAUACUUACGGAGAAUUGAAAAUCAAAAAAAUGAUUAAGAUAAAUUCAAGAAGGCCGGGCGCGGUGGCUCACGCCUGUAAUCCCAGCAGUCUGUGGGGGCAGAGGCGGGUGGAUCACUCGAGGUCCGGAGUUCGAGACCAGCCUGACCAAAAUGGAGAAACCCCCGUCUCUGCU
rnacentral:lncRNA from 1 species